GAAGAUCGAGAUCGUCCCAAAGUUGGGGCAGUGGUCGUGAUGCUGAUGAUGAUGAUGUUGGUCUAUUUAGACGUGGUGGCCGAGGUUCCAGAAUUGAAAAUAGCUGGAGUCGCCCCUCAAGAAACAAUGAUAAUGAUUGGCUUAUAGGUGGUAGGCGAUCCAGUAGGCCAUCUUCGAGGGACAGAUAUAUCUUUCUGCCUAUGCAAAUCUUGCGAGUAUUCCCUGAGCAAUUUUGUCCGCUCUUGGUACAUAUGGAAUUGAUGUAGCAUUGCAGACUGGUGUUGGAGAUUUGAUACAUUAUCCUCCAUCGUUUAGCAAAUAUAUUCAUUUUCAAUCACCAAUAACAUACUUGACAUGGCCAUGUAAAUCUCACUGAUAUGGCAUUGCGUCAUGACAGGAGCUUCGGAGGAUCGUGCUUUGUAUAUGGGCGUGCGGGGCACAGGGCAUCUGAAUGCCCUAGUAAGCAAGACUACUGAUUGUAUUUAUUUAAAUGUGUUGCUUUUCAUACACUAAGCAAAAAGUGGAGGGUCCUACUCUGCCGCCGCCGCCGCCACCGCCACCGCCACCGCUUUGUGCUCUACCUGCUUGUUUAUAACAGGUUGGUCAGUGUCUUUGUGCUGGAGAGACAAUGAAAAGAGUUACAGUGAUCAACCCCGAUU
rnacentral:lncRNA from 1 species